AUAGAAAUGAAACUGGAUGAAAUAAUAAAAAGGAAUCCCCCCCCCCUCAUCAGAUCAAGAUGGUACAGUCCAAUUUCCUCUGGAACAGCACAAAAAUAGAGGCUGAAGCCCCGCCUCUUCCUUUGUUGGCCAUCACAUGGAAUGCGGCCGCUCACUCCAUGGACCAGAGGAAUCCAGGACUCAGAACUGCCUUAAUUCUAUGUGGUGAAUUAUCCUGCUGGAAGUUGCCAUCAGAGAAUGGGUACAAAGUGGCCUUAAAAGGAUGAACAUGGUCAGAAACAAUUAUCAGAUAUCGAGACUCAUCAGACCAGGCAACAUUUUUCCAGUGUUCAACUGUCCAAUUUUGGUAAGCUCUUGCAAAUUGUAUGCGUAGUGACGUGCAUGUUCAAGUAAGCCAGAUAUAUGCAUAUUCAGCGCCAUACAUUGUAUUUAAUUUUUCAUGAUGACCCACGAGUUUAGUAUUUGUGCUAAAUCUGCGCAGAUUUGCCAUACACAAACUUCCCCAGCAAAGUAAAUGAACAUAAGACGAAUUAAUGGCUGGUAACGCCAAAUUGGCUAGUGAUUCGACAACGUUACUUGCCAUAGGUGAUGUUUACCCGCAUUUGGCGGGUUGGCGGGUGUUAAUUUCAAACUCUGAUUGUGAUGCUCGGUGACUGACGUUUGUCUAACUCUGCAUAGCAUGAAACAUGCUGAUGCAACGCAUUCUCAUCCCAAGGCGUCAUAUAUGACGCUUUUGCCAAAA